AUAUAUAUAUCAACCUUCACUUGUUGAAUGGUUUGGAUGUGGGGGUUUGCUGGACUUGUGAAAGGUUCAGCUCCUCUGAAAUGCAUUAGCAGAACAAUCUGUUCAUUGGUGUGAUAACUAUCUACGCUCUUGAAUAAGAUGCAGUUCAGCUUUCUAACUGUCCUUGGACAAUUUAUCAUUU
rnacentral:misc_RNA from 1 species